rnacentral:rRNA from 1 species
UACAGAGGGGGCAAGCGUUAUUCGGAAUUACUGGGCGUAAAGGGCGCGUAGGCGGCUUGUUAAGUCGAACGUGAAAUCCCCGGGCUCAACCCGGGAACUGCGUCCGAUACUGGCGGGCUUGAAUCCGGGAGAGGGAUGCGGAAUUCCAGGUGUAGCGGUGAAAUGCGUAGAUAUCUGGAGGAACACCGGUGGCGAAGGCGGCAUCCUGGACCGGCAUUGACGCUGAGGCGCGAAAGCCAGGGGAGCAAACGGG